rnacentral:rRNA from 4 species
GCGCCCCAGAAAUGGUGCGUGUCCGGGGCGUUGCGUCGUAUUCUUUAUGUCAAAACGACUCUCGGCAACGGAUAUCUCGGCUCUCGCAUCGAUGAAGAACGUAGCGAAAUGCGAUACUUGGUGUGAAUUGCAGAAUCCCGUGAACCAUCGAGUCUUUGAACGCA